GCUCUUUUGCUUUUUAGUUAGUUUAGCCACUGAGGCAGAGAAGUUUUCCCUGGACUGUUUUAUUUUUUCUUUCCCUUUUCGUGGACCUGUUUGAACCUGCUCCAGACCAGGACCCGGGGAGCAGCGAGAGCUUGCACUUUGUGACCUACCCUGGGCAGCAGCUGGAGGGACUGAUAACAGAGUGACCAGACACAGGAGAGACUUUCUGAAUUUCUCACCUCUUCAGAGCAGCAAAUGAGCUUUGUCAUCUCCUAGGGUUCAUUUUUUGCCUGCUAAAUAAAUAGGUUUUCUCCCAAAUUUGCCCUAAACCAGGACAGAGGGAUUUAAAAAAAAAUACUAAAUUCUUUAUCCAGAACACAAUGUGUUGGGGAAAAAAAGCUGCUAAAUAAAGUAACAAAAGUACCAGUACACUGAAUAUGGACUGGUUAAGCAAUGCUGACAAUAUUAACAAGGCCACUCAGAUGAUGGAGAACAGUAAAUUCUCACUGUGGUCUGAGGGAUACAAGUGCUCAAAUCGUCACUUCCAACCACUCUGGUCCCACUGUCCAAAGGUCUGAAAAGGACAGUAAUCCAUGGAUUAUUUUUGCCAAGGAAACCUAUGGGUCCUCCUCCAAAAGUCAUAGGGCCGUGUUGUCUUUGGACUGGAGCAUAAUCCCAGCCCACACUUCCAGCUCUAUGACCUGACAUGCCCUUCCCAGUUUCCCAACAUGUAAAAAAUAAUAGUAUGAUAUAAUAAAAUAAUAGUAUGAUAAAUAAUUUUGAUAUCAAACAAAAAUAGAUUGACUUACUAUAUUUGAGACUAAUUCUUGACUCAUAUUAUUUUCAUAGGCAGACUAAAAUACAGACAGGAAAAUGUUAUUUGCUCUGUUUCUGCAGAGUCUUUGCCAACUACCCUGAACAGCAAGAAUUUAAAAUUAACUAAGCAGUUCUACUUAAGCAGAUGCAGAAUAGUACGAAAAAAGUGAUUCAAUUAGUCUGCUCAGUGCUAACAAAGGAUCACUCACCAAAACUUCUGAAACCUGAACACAUACCAAGAUUUAAUUAAAAAAUAGCUGUUACUCAUAGCCUUGAUCAGCCCCCUGGAACACUUGAUAACAACUGGUAUCCACCAGAUCCUUUUGCCAAACUCUUUGUACUUCACUUUUAAAUGAAGUGGUUGCUAAUUCAAGAGCACAAAAUUCUGUGACCCAAAGAGCCUAUGUGGCAGAUUUGAGUUGAAAUUUAUAUUUAAAUUUGUAUGCAUACAAAUACAGAAGUACUGAAAUUUAUAAUGACUUUAUUAGGGGUGCAUUUAUUAAGGGUGGCCUUCCAGUACCUGAAGUGAGGCUAAAAGACAGAUGGAAAGAGACUUUUUUACAUGACAUGGGGGAAUGACUUCAACCUGAGAGUAGGUUUAAAAUGGAUAUUAAGGAAGAAAUUCUUUACUGUGAGGGUGGUGAGACCCUAGCAGAGGUUGCACAGAGAAGCUAUGGUUGCCCCAUCCCUGGAAGCGUCCAAGGCCAGGUUGGGUGGGGAUCUGAACAAUCUGGUCUGGAGAUAGAAGCAUAGGUUAUGAAAUGCAGUCUAGUAUUUUCAUGAUAAAUGCUCCUUACUCUGGAAGAGCUGGUCAAAGACCAGCACCACUGGGAGAGCAGAGCUGGGGUAGAUCUCGUCUGUUACCCAAAAUGGCAGGUGAAAUGAUGAAGAAAAACACUUGUCAGGCUUGUAACUAGAGCAAGGCACAUUGCCAGCUGCUGCACAGCAACAGUUGGUUUUGAAAGUCCACACAUUAUAAAUUAACAGGCACGUGGAAACAGAGGAAAAUCCCUGCUAGGGAUGCCCAAGUAGGAUGUACAACAAGACUCUCCUCAAUAAAUUCACAUUUCAUUCAGCAGCUCAACCAAAAUAGAUUUUUAGUUGCCAUAAAACUUCUGUACCCUCAGUGAACCUUCUACUUGAA